CCUACGGGAGGCAGCAGUGGGGGAUAUUGCACAAUGGGGGAAACCCUGAUGCAGCGACGCCGCGUGAGUGAAGAAGUAUUUCGGUACGUAAAGCUCUAUCAGCAGGGAAGAAAAUGACGGUACCUGACUAAGAAGCCCCGGCUAACUACGUGCCAGCAGCCGCGGUAAUACGUAGGGGGCAAGCGUUAUCCGGAUUUACUGGGUGUAAAGGGAGCGUAGACGGCAGCGCAAGUCUGGAGUGAAAUCCCAUGGCUUAACCAUGGAACUGCUUUGGAAACUGUGCAGCUAGAGUGCAGGAGAGGUAAGCGGAAUUCCUAGUGUAGCGGUGAAAUGCGUAGAUAUUAGGAGGAACACCAGUGGCGAAGGCGGCUUACUGGACUGUAACUGACGUUGAGGCUCGAAAGCGUGGGGAGCAAACAGGAUUAGAUACCCCUGUAGUC
rnacentral:rRNA from 1 species